GAAGUGUUGUUAUUACAGGCGUGAGCCACCGCGCCCGGCCCCAUAAAUUUUUAAUAGGAGAAAAGGGAAACUGUGAACCCUGACAGAUAUAAUAGAUUCCUCUUCAAGGGCCUAACUUUCUUGUUCCUUGUUCUUAGGACCAACUUUUUUGUACCUCUUUGUACCUAGACACCCGCUCCGUAAACAACCCAAACCGCCUGUUCCAAUCUGCGACCCGAACCCCUUCCUUAUUUGGAAAGUAGCCAAUCGGGUCAGCCUAGAUUGUGAGGUCAGACCCCGGCCAAUGGGGGAAGGACACAGAGGCAAUAACGGCGUUUAGGGUUAAAAACCCCUUUCAAACUGGGAGGCCGAGGCGGGCGGAUCAACUGAGUUCGGGAGUUCAAAACCAGCCUGACCAACAUGUUGCGGAAGGCCCUCGUGACUGGACCUCCUGCCAAACAACUCGUUACAAAAAACUGAGGGUACCAGACUGCGCCAAAGCUUCAUGAGACCUGUCCUCAUCUGUGCAGAAAUGAGUGGCCGACUCUGGAACCCAGGCUGUUGCUUACCACCUUGGUGGUGAAACCUCCAUACUCUAGUCCUGAAGGGGCGAGGCCUUAAGCAUUAUCCAAUCAGGGACACUGGGCUGGAAACCGUCCAAUCAGACACCCAGCUGGAGCGAACAGGUCGACUUCCGAGUUUGGCGGGGCCUUUGUCUCUCACUGCACCUGGAGCUCCAGGUCUCAUCUUCACUACUCUGUGUCCUCUGCUGCUGGAGGCCCAGCCCUGUGACCUGACGGUUUUGGGAGAUCCACAGCUAAGACGCCAGGACCUCCUGGAAGCCUAGAAAUGAGUUUUCGCUCUGUUGCCAGACUGGAGUGAGGUCCUACAGUUGUGCAGCCGCGCGAUCUGGGCUCACUGCAACCUCCACCUCCCGGGUUCAAGCAAUUAUCCUGCCUCAGCCUCCUGAGUAGC
rnacentral:lncRNA from 1 species